ncrna:Nostoc sp. PCC 7120 HNH endonuclease-associated RNA and ORF (HEARO) RNA
GUAAACUACCCACCACGGAUUGCUAAAAGCAAUAUAGUGGGGGCUUUCAAAGCCCAGAGUUUACCCGACUAAGUGUUUCGCGCACUACGAUUUUAAGGUCAUCUUACCUGGGAAUGCGUAGCCAGUUCCCAGCACUAGGGCUAAUAGUUAAACAGGUUGAAUGGGUUAAGCCAGUGCUGUUAGCGUAAAAAGCCUUUAAAUCAUUGUCUAGGCUAACAUUAC